UUCUCCUCUACAAUCAGUGCAAACAAAACAAAUAAAAAUGAAUUUCAUCACACGAAUAGUGGGACCGCAAUUUCGGCAAUUGGUGUUUCAUCAACCACCUGUAAGUUGGCAGCAAGUGGCCGUAAUUGCCAACAAGAAUGUGGUACUGUACUCCACGAAAACAUCGAAACCGCAAGAACCCGGCAUCGCCAGUGCUGCAGCAAGCAGCAAGAGGGCAAAAACAGCACCAAAAAUUACUCUCAUUUCGUCCGAUGAAUCGAUAUCGAUAGUGAAUCUGGAUGAGGCAGUAAAAAUAUCCACCCGGCGUAAUUUAAAGCUUGUGAAGAUCACCGAUCUCGACACUAAAACGCAGCGUCCGGUGUACAGAUUAAUGACCGGUGCGGAAUACCUCAACGAAGACUUGAAGCGACGUGAGGAAAAGAAAAAAAUCAAACAGGAUGCAUCCGUUAAGGGCGACAAACUGUUGACGAUUAGUGCUCGCAUUGCCGAACACGAUCUCGCAUCAAAGAUACAGAAUGUGCUGAAAUGGUUAAACAAGUCGUACGAAGUUCGGGUCGUCGUAACGGGCGACGGAGCAGGCAAUAGGGCAAAGCAGGAGGACAUUGCCCAGCGCUUCGAGACGAGUGUUAAAGACACGGGCAAGAUUGUGCAGAAACGCCUGCGGGAUAAUGAUUUACGGUUUAAUAUUACACCAACCACGGGUAGUGGUGGCGCCGCGGUGGGUAAGAAAGGCCUGUUGGAUGUAAAGGAUACAACAAACGGGAUGGAUCAACCGCAAGCUGCACGUGGGCUGCACACCAGUUCGAUGGCGUGACAAUCACAGCGAGGGGACGGAGAUCCGGCAACUGCCACAAAACGAUACAAGGUGACCGGUUGUGUUGCCUUCGUUCUGUUCGCAAAGUACGCUUUCUGGACCUAUCUGCUCAGGGGUGACAGAUGACCAUUGUAAAGUAAGUUUACAGGUUGAUGAAGCACCUGGAUUAUUGUAACAUUUCCACGAAACCCAAUGAAUGGAAGCCUCCAAAUGCAAACAAAAGCGAGCAU